rfam:Myotis lucifugus cont2.17734, whole genome shotgun sequence.
GAGACAUCCUUAUGGAACAGGACUUGCUUCAGUGGGGCUUUGGUGCUCACUGAGUCUGCCCCUUGAGUGUGUUGCU